CCUGACUGCUAUCGGAUUGAUACUAAGCCAUGCGAGUCAUUGUAGCAAUACAAGGCAGACGGCUCAGUAACGCGUAGUCAAUCUACCCUAUGGACGGGAAUAACCUCGGGAAACUGAGAAUAAUGCCCGAUAGAACAUUAUGCCUGGAAUGGUUUAUGUUUCAAAUGAUUUAUCGCCAUAGGAUGGGACUGCGGCCUAUCAGUUUGUUGGUGAGGUAAUGGCCCACCAAGACUAUUACAGGUACGGGCUCUGAGAGGAGUAGCCCGGAGAUGGGUACUGAGACACGGACCCAGGCCCUAUGGGGCGCAGCAGGCGAGAAAACUUUGCAAUGUGCGAAAGCACGACAAGGUUAAUCCGAGUGGUUUCUGCUAAAGAAACCUUUUGUCAGUCCUAGAAACACUAACGAAUAAGGGGUGGGCAAGUUCUGGUGUCAGCCGCCGCGGUAAAACCAGCACCUCAAGUGGUCAGGAUGAUUAUUGGGCCUAAAGCAUCCGUAGCUCGUUUUGUAAGUUUUCGGUUAAAUCCAUGCGCUUAACGUAUGGGCUGCCGGGAAUACUGCAUAACUAGGAAGUGGGAGAGGUAGACGGUACUCGGGAGGAAGGGGUAAAAUCCUUUGAUCUCUUGAUGACCACCUGUGGCGAAGGCGGUCUACCAGAACACGUUCGACGGUGAGGGAUGAAAGCUGGGGGAGCAAACCGGAUUAGAUACCCGGGUAGUCCCAGCUGUAAACUAUGCAAACUCAGUGAUGCAUUGGCUUAUGGCCAAUGCAGUGCUGCAGGGAAGCCGUUAAGUUUGCCGCCUGGGAAGUACGUACGCAAGUAUGAAACUUAAGGAAUUGGCGGGGGAGCACACAAGGGGUGAAGCCUGCGGUUCAUUGGAGUCA
rnacentral:rRNA from 1 species